UACAGAGGUGGCAAGCGUUGUUCGGAAUUACUGGGCGUAAAGGGCGCGUAGGCGGCCUUCUAAGUCAGACGUGAAAUCCCCCGGCUUAACCUGGGAACUGCGUCCGAUACUGGGAGGCUUGAGUAUGGGAGAGGGAUGUAGAAUUCCAGGUGUAGCGGUGAAAUGCGUAGAUAUCUGGAGGAAUACCGGUGGCGAAGGCGGCAUCCUGGACCAUAACUGACGCUGAGGCGCGAAAGCUAGGGGAGCAAACAGG
rnacentral:rRNA from 1 species